GGGGUUGUAGCUCAGUGGUAGAGCACUUGCCUUGUACUUAUGAAACACUGAGUUUUAUCCUCAGCACCA
rnacentral:tRNA from 1 species